GGUAGCAUGGCCGAGCGGUCUAAGGCGCUGGUUUAAGGCACCAGCUCAUUUCGAUGGCGUGGGUUCGAAUCCCACUGCUGCCA
rnacentral:tRNA from 1 species